GGUGGCUCAGUGGUAGAGUACUUGCCUUGCAUGCAUGAGGCCUUGGGUUUGAUUCCUCAGCACCA
rnacentral:tRNA from 1 species